CCCAGACUCCUACGGGAGGCAGCAGUGGGGAAUAUUGCACAAUGGGGGAAACCCUGAUGCAGCGACGCCGCGUGAGUGAAGAAGUAAUUCGUUAUGUAAAGCUCUAUCAGCAGGGAAGAAAAUGACGGUACCUGAGUAAGAAGCCCCGGCUAACUACGUGCCAGCAGCCGCGGUAAUACGUAGGGGGCAAGCGUUAUCCGGAUUUACUGGGUGUAAAGGGAGCGUAGACGGCAGUGCAAGUCUGGAGUGAAAGGCGGGGGCUCAACCCCCGGGACUGCAUUUGAAACUGUCAGGCUGGAGUGCAGGAGAGGUAAGCGGAAUUCCUGGUGUAGCGGUGAAAUGCGUAGAGAUCAGGAGGAACACCGGCGGCGAAGGCGGCUUACUGGACAGUAACUGACGUUGAGGCUCGAAGGCGUGGGGAGCAAACAGGAUUAGAUACCCUUGUA
rnacentral:rRNA from 1 species